rnacentral:rRNA from 1 species
GACGAACGCUGGCGGCGUGCUUAACACAUGCAAGUCGAACGGAAAGGCCCUGCUUUUGUGGGGUGCUCGAGUGGCGAACGGGUGAGUAACACGUGAGUAACCUGCCCUUGACUUUGGGAUAGCUUCAGGAAACUGGGGCUAAUACCGGAUAGGAGCUCCUGCUGCAUGGUGGGGGUUGGAAAGUUUCGGCGGGUGGGGAUGGACUCGCGGCUUAUCAGCUUGUUGGUGGGGUAGUGGCUUACCAAGGCUUUGACGGGUAGCCGGCCUGAGAGGGUGACCGGCCACAUUGGGACUGAGAUACGGCCCAGACUCCUACGGGAGGCAGCAGUGGGGAAUAUUGCACAAUGGGCGGAAGCCUGAUGCAGCAACGCCGCGUGCGGGAUGACGGCCUUCGGGUUGUAAACCGCUUUCGCCUGUGACGAAGCGUGAGUGACGGUAAUGGGUAAAGAAGCACCGGCUAACUACGUG